GGAAUAUUGCGCAAUGGGCGAAAGCCUGACGCAGCGACGCCGCGUGUGGGAUGAAGGUCUUCGGAUUGUAAACCACUGCUGGGAGGGACGAAGCUCUGACGGUACCUCCAAAGGAAGCACCGGCUAACUCUGUCACCGCAGCCGCGGUAAUACAGAGGGUGCGAGCGUUGUCCGGAAUCACUGGGCGUAAAGGGCGCGUAGGCGGCCUGGUAAGUAGGGGGUGAAAUCUCAUGGCUCAACUGUGAGGCUGCCUUCUAGACUGCCGGGCUUGAGCAUGGUAGAGGCUGGUGGAAUUCCCGGUGUAGCGGUGGAAUGCGUGGAGAUCGGGAAGAACAUCUGUGGCGAAGGCGGCCAGCUGGGCCAUCUGCUGACGCUGAGGCGCGAAAGCGUGGGGAGCAAAC
rnacentral:rRNA from 1 species